rnacentral:rRNA from 1 species
AGCGAACGCUGGCGGCAUGCCUAACACAUGCAAGUCGAGCGCUCCCAGCAAUGGGGGAGCGGCGGACGGGUGAGUAACGCGUAGGAACGUAUCCUGAGGUGGGGGAUAACCCUGGGAAACUAGGGCUAAUACCGCAUGAUGGCGAGAGCCCAAAGAUUUAUCGCCUUGGGAGCGGCCUGCGUCUGAUUAGCUUGUUGGUGGGGUAACGGCCUACCAAGGCGAUGAUCAGUAGCUGGUCUGAGAGGAUGAUCAGCCACACUGGGACUGAGACACGGCCCAGACUCCUACGGGAGGCAGCAGUGGGGAAUCUUGCGCAAUGGGGGCAACCCUGACGCAGCCAUGCCGCGUGAAUGAUGAAGGCCUUAGGGUUGUAAAGUUCUUUUGCCCGUGACGAUGAUGACGGUAACGGGAGAAUAAGCUCCGGCUAACUUCGUG